AAGAGAGGUGAUAUUUCAUUACGACUUUUCUCCUUACUUAUCUUCUACUUUUCUUGGCUUUGAAUCCCAAUCCUUGUUUUCUCCAUGGAUUGUGUGAGACCCAUCCUGGAUGUCGCCAAUCGCUUAUGGGAUAGCGCUGCUAAGCGUCCUGUUUACAUCCGUCAUCUCCCACAAAAUCUCAACUCUUUGAGAACUGAAAUGGAGGAACUCAAGAACCUGUACGAAGAUGUGAAGGAAAGGGUGGAACGUGAAGAGGAACGUCAGAAGAAGCGUCUUCGUGUAGUUGAUGACUGGCUUCGCGGAGUAGAAGCCAUGGAAAAAGAAGUGGAGGAAAUAUUGGCGAAAGGAGAUGAAGAAAUCCAGAAGAAAUGUCUCGGAACCUGUUGUCCUAAAAACUGUGGCGCUAGCUACAAUCUUGGCAAGAUGGUACUUGAAAAGAUGGGUGCUGUGACGGUCAAGAAGACGGAGGGCUCAAAUUUCAGUGUAGUUGCUGAACCUUUGCCUAGUCCUCCCGUGAUGGAGAGGCAGCUUGAAAAGACUGUGGGCCAAGAUUUGUUGUUUGGGAAGGUCUGGAAAUGGCUCCAAGAUGGUGGAGAGCAGGUAAGCAGUAUCGGAUUAUAUGGAAUGGGGGGUGUGGGCAAAACCACCCUCUUGACCAGGAUCAACAAUGAGCUCCUCAAAACCAGGCUUGAAUUUGAUGCAGUGAUUUGGGUGACUGUGUCCAGACCAGCCAAUGUGGAAAAGGUUCAGCGAGUUCUUUUCAAUAAAGUGGAGAUUCCCCAAGAUAAAUGGGAAGGUAGGAGUGAGGAUGAAAGGGCAGAAGAAAUAUUCAAUGUCCUGAAGAAAAAGAAAUUUGUGCUCUUGUUAGAUGACAUAUGGGAGCGGCUGGAUCUAUCCAAAGUUGGUAUUCCUCCUCUGAAUCCUCAAGAUAAGUUGAAGAUGGUACUUACAACGCGAUCUAAAGAUGUGUGCCAAGAUAUGGAAGUUACAGAGAGCAUUGAAGUGAAUUGUCUCCCAUGGGAGGAUGCUUUUGCUCUGUUUCAGACCAAGGUGGGAGCAGACACCAUAAAUUCUCAUCCAGAUAUACCAAAGCUGGCGGAGAUGGUUGCCAAAGAGUGUUGCGGCUUACCACUUGCCCUCAUCACCAUAGGGCGAGCAAUGGCGGGAACAAAAACACCCGAAGAAUGGGAGAAAAAAAUACAAAUGUUGAAGAAUUAUCCAGCAAAGUUUCCAGGUAUGGAGAAUUGUCUGUUUUCACGCUUGGCAUUCAGUUAUGAUAGCCUACCCGAUGAAACCAUCAAAUCGUGUUUCCUAUAUUGCUCUUUAUUUCCGGAGGAUUAUGAAAUCUCUCAUCGAAAUAUUAUACAACUUUGGAUUGGGGAGGGUUUUCUGGAUGAAUAUGACAACAUACAAAAAGCAAGAAAUCAAGGAGAAGAAGUUAUUAAAAGUUUACAGCUUGCAUGUCUAUUGGAGAAUGGCAUAUCUCCAUUAGAUGAAAAAGACGAAUAUUUGAAGAUGCAUGAUGUUAUUCGUGAUAUGGCAUUGUGGUUGGCUCGCGAAAAUGGGAAGAAGAAGAACAAAUUUGUGGUAAAAGAUGGAGUUGAAUCGAUUAGAGCUCAGGAAGUUGAAAAAUGGAAAGAGACACAGAGGAUAUCAUUAUGGAAUACCGAGAUUGAAGAACAUAGAAAACCACCAUAUUUCCCUAAUAUUGAGACCUUUUUGGCAUCAAGUGUGUUUAUUGAGUCAUUUUCAAAUAGAUUCUUUACAAACAUGCCUAUUAUAAGAGUUUUGGACUUGUCAAACAAUUUUAAACUUAUGAAGUUACCUGUGGAGAUUAGAAACUUAGUUACCUUGCAAUAUCUUAAUUUGUCAUGUACAAGUAUUGAAUACUUACCUGUGGAGCUCAAGAACUUGAAAAAUUUAAGGUGCUUGAUAUUGAAUGAUAUGUAUUUUCUUGAGUCACUUCCAUCUCAAAUGGUAUCGAGUCUUUCCUCUUUGCAAUUGUUCAGUAUGUAUAGCACGGAAGGGUCAGCCUUUAAGGGAUAUGAUGAAAGAAGGUUAUUAGAAGAGUUAGAGCAGUUGGAACACAUUGAUGAUAUAUCCAUCGACCUUACAAGUGUAUCAUCCAUCCAAACAUUAUUUAACUCCCACAAGUUGCAAAGAUCCACAAGAUGGCUACAAUUAGUUUGUGAGCGUAUGAACCUAGUCCAACUAUCCCUUUAUAUAGAGACCCUCCAUAUUAAAAAUUGUUUUGAAUUGCAAGAUGUGAAAAUCAAUUUUGAAAAGGAAGUGGUGGUCUACUCAAAAUUCCCAAGGCACCAAUGCUUGAACAACCUUUGUGAUGUCAAAAUAUUUCGAUGUCAUAAAUUGUUGAAUUUGACAUGGCUUAUUUGUGCUCCAAGCCUUCAAUUUCUAAGUGUUGAAUUCUGUGAAUCAAUGGAAAAAGUGAUAGAUGAUGAAAGGAGUGAAGUUUUAGAAAUUGAAGUAGAUCAUUUGGGUGUAUUCUCGAGACUCAUAUCUCUCACUUUAACAUGGCUACCAAAGCUAAGAAGUAUAUAUGGACGUGCCUUACCUUUUCCAUCUUUAAGAUACAUCCGUGUGCUUCAAUGUCCAAGUUUGAGGAAGCUGCCAUUUGAUUCCAACACUGGAAUAAGCAAGAAAUUAGAGCAAAUCCGUGGACAAAAAGAAUGGUGGGAUGGUUUGGAUUGGGAGGAUCAAGCGAUUAUGCACAACCUCACUCCAUAUUUUCAACCCACACAAAUUCAAGACGAGAUUUGAGCUCCUAUGGCAUUCGUCUUAUUACGGUUUCUCACUCUACAUACUUCAUUAGAUUGUUUGGGACUUGGGAGUCCUGAAGCCAUGAGAUUAUGCACAACCACUAGGAAACUAUCCCUUAAUCUCCACGAAAUUCAACAACCAAAAUGCAAAAGCUCAAAGGAAGACACAACAAUCUUCUCCAAUCCCCACAUGCCUCGAUUAGUGCAUCGCUGGAUCAUGACCAGCCAUUUUCUUCUUUUCCACUGCACAUGAGCUUCCAUGUCUACAAACUUGCACUCCAAGCUCUGAUUAUCUUGUCAAAGCUUUUUUUUUUUUUUUACUUUCAUUAGUCUCUUGUCAGCCUGUGCUAUAAACUUGAAGAUGAUGAUAAAUAUGGAUUCAACGUUUUUGUAUUGAAAGAAAGCUCGAAUUGGUAGUUUUUCACUUUUUCGAUC